AAUCCACUUAUUGUAAGUUGCUUUGGAUAAAAGCCUCAGAUAAAUGACAUGUGAUGGAAUGUAAAAUAAGAUUAUAUAUUAUGACAGCUCGUGGGAAAGCAGGUUAUUCAAAUUAAUAUUAUAUUAACUGUAUCAUGAAUUGUUAGGUACUGUUGUUUGAGCAGGUUUACACACAGUGAUCAUCACAAGGACAUUUGUUAAUUAUCAGGUUUUUUCUUCUUGCUUUUACUUAUUUUAGGUCAAAAAGGUUAAGAACCUUAGAGGUUCACCGUCUUAUAUUAGCAUGUUAGCAUGAACACGUGUCUUAUGUUAGCAUGAAGGUUCUUUGUCCAACCGUCGGGCACCAGAAGCUCAGCAAUCUUCUCCCCAUCACAGCGUCUCCCACCUGAGUGAAGAUGCCUUCAGGUACACUCCCUUAUUUUCAUAGCUGAGGUUUCUCCUCUGCACGCUACCUCCGCCUCCCUCAGGGCCGGCGGUCUGAUCCCGUCUGUUGUUCUUGGCCUGUGGAGGACGACCUCCUCUUAAAUAUGUGCUCUUUGCACGAGAGGGGAGCCAGAAGAACGAGAAGAAAACUGACACGUCUGCAUUUAUUCUCCAUAUUGUUUUAGCUUUUUCAUGUUACUUCAACAACAUGGUGUCACGUUUGCUUCUUCUUCCAGCAAACAGAAAGUGACGUGUGCAGUGAGAAGAAAGUGAGCGGUGGUCUUGGUCCUGAUGGACCUCAGCCUCCUGCCCGAUGGAGGGGACACGGGGUCCUCAGGGCGUCCCGUUGUGGCCGCUAACAGCCAACAAGACGCCGUCCAGCCCGCUGGUCUCCAGACUCACCUGGUGGAGGUCACCUGUGUACUUUCUUUUAUUAUAGCGUUACGUGUUUAACACCAGGCGGUCAGGAGCGAGCGCAGCGUGUGACUCACUGAGCGCUGCAGUCAUGUGACAGUGAAAUCACCACGUGGAGACUUUGUCCACACGAGGGGGAACUUGCACCACGUCGCACCGCCCAGUCGGAGGAGGGUGCAGCAUAAUUCCUCCAUUUUAAAUUCCUGAGUAAGAAUCCUUGGUGAGUUAAAGCCCCUCGGGCGCCAAUCUGCCCUCAGACAGCGAGGCUCCAGAUGGGCGUCAGCCGCCAAUCACCGGGAGCUUCAAGCCCCGGCGUGCCGCCGAGAGGGACGUUACCGUGACGAUGAGAAACAACACACGGCGACUCACAGUGAGAUGAGGAUGAUGAUGAUGUAUCAAAAGGAGAAAGUGUGAGGAAGAAGAGAAGAAGGAAAGGAGUUAAGGAAAAGACAGUGGAGGAGACAAUGUGAGGAGAGGAAACGAGAGAGGAGCUGAAGCUUUGGGGGGUGGGGGUGGACGGGGGAGGAGCCUCGGAGCUGGUCGUUUUUCAACGGCGCCAUCUCGGAUGCCUCAAAGGAAGUGAGCGAGGUCCGAGGACGAAAGGUCGUAAGGGUCAGGACUCGCCCCAUCGACCUCUGACCUCUGACCAGCGUCACUGGAGGAGCUUUAGUUCUUCUAAGAUGCUUUUCUGUAGUGCAACAGUUUUACAGGAUGCGAAUGAAACAAACGUCCCAAUAGAUUAUUGACCGUCUAAAUGUGUUUGUGUUUUCAGCAGUAGAGCAAAGUACAUUUAGAGGUACUUUUACCUGAGGUUUCAGGGCUCUACAAUAAUUUAAAUUAUGUUUAUUUAACAUCUACAUGAAGAAGAAUUCACCAGAUAUUCUACUUUGUGAGUACAUUGCACUAACUAACUCUCAGCCAAACCCAGAUGUUUUGAUCAUUUGAAAAAACAAAGAUCUGAAACUUGAAGAUUUUAAUUAGAAAAUAUAAAAUCUGAAACCAAAAAAUAUAUAUUAUUACCCCCCAAAAAAACUGAGUUAAAAACUAUAUUCUACCCAGAAAUACUUUUUAUUUUUAAUGCAUUGUUUUAUUUUCCAAUGUUGAACUUCACAUCUGUUCUUCAAAUGAUCAAAACUUUAAGCCUGGAUUUGGUUCCAUACAGAACUUUUCAACUGUGGCUUUUUCCUUUAAUUGAGAGUAAAGGGUGUGAAUACUUUUCUCACCACUAGUGGGCAGUAUAACCCAGUACAAACCAAGUAUAAACCAGUACAAACCCAGUAUAACCCAGUACAAACCAAGUAUAAACCAGUACAAACCCAGUAUAACCCAGUACAAACCAAGUAUAAACCAGUACAAACCAAGUAUAACCCAGUACAAACCCAGUAUAAACCAGUACAAACCCAGUAUAACCCAGUGUGUGUUGUGUGCGUGUCACUGCUCUCAUAUAGUUAUAAAUGACCAUAUUUGGUCAUGUAAUUUACUUUAUUGAUCAUCAGUCUGAUAAUUAACGUUGAUGCAGAAAAAACACCUUAUUGCAAUAAAAAAAUAAUAACUUAACUAAAGUAAAUGACUGAUGAAAGGUCCUGAAAAUGAUUGUUAAUAAAAGAAACAUUUCAUUCAGUGAAGUAAAGACGUUUAUAUUCACAGUGCAGCAGACAGACGGGUGACAGGCAGCACGAUGUCAUCGCUGACGUGUAACAUCUCAGCUGGAUGAAUGUUACACACUGUUGCUCCACAAUGACAUCAUCACUGUGGUGUGUGUGUGUGUGUGUGUGUGUGUGUGUCUAGCUAAAGUGACCCAGCCUCCUCAGCACCAGGCUGUGAUCGGUCUGCUGACUCUCACGUUCCUGUUGUUCUGGAGGUGAAUCGCUCUGCAACACACGCAAGACUUUACAACCAGGAAGUGAGACCAGCGCGUAAAGACCAACGUGAAGACGCAGGAACACGUCUCGGCCUCCAGUCGAGGUCUCUUCAGUGGGGAUGUGCUCACGGCUCAGGUCUGCAUGGUCCUGGUUCUGUGGACGUCCUCGGGGACCCUGCUGCUCAGUCGUUGGGGACGUGUUCCCGUUCCGGGGGAACCGACCGCAAAACCCUCAAAGGUCCGAUUGGGCUAAAAUGAAAUAAAAUGAAUUGAAAUAUUCUAAAGGAGCUUUGUCACAAUCCAAAGCGUGUACUAACGUGUACUACUAGCAUGUACUAACAUGUACUACUAGCGUGUACUAACGUGUACUAACGUGAUCAGAUUUGAAUUAUGCAGAAUUUCUGUCAACUCAAAUGAUCAUUUUCACAUUUUGUCACAGAAAGUGUUGGAAAGUAAGAACUUUUUGUUCAUGUGUCAAAUAAAAUAUUAUUUUUAACGAUGCUUGUUUCACUCUCCUGGUGGUGACGUCUCACAGGAGGACACGUGGGAGGACACAUACCUGUAGAUUAUUGUUAUAUCGGACGGACAGACGACAUCUCGUGAUGAAAGUUGUGCUAAAAAGAACAUGUGAGGAGAUCCAGUUGAUUACGUGACAUUAAAACGAUCACAGCUGCACUGUGGUAUCAUUUAUUGAUCACGGUGGUUCUACAAUAUUCUCAUCAUGUUAUUGAUUACGUAGCUCCAGAGUCAUGGCUGUAACCCGGUGACCCUGAAUGUUGAUUUGAGAGCCGGGUGUUUUAUUUCUAACGUCCGCUUCCUGUCAACGCUCGGCGGUGCGUUUGACUUGUCGUCGGGGGGCCGGUCGCUCGGGGCCCAGAGGCCUCUGGGACGCUGCGGGUGAGGAAUAUUACAGGAAGAGGGCGACGGGGGCGAGCUGCUGACGUCCAGCCGUGGUCACCCGCUUAGUCAGAGACAGGAAGUCCUGUUGGUUUUACUCACAGGGAACCCAAAGCAAACACAGCUGGGAUUGGUCAGGUCCCUCCCCCCCAGGCCUCUGCUCCACCAAUCACGUGGAGGCGGAAAAUGACGAGCAGAGCGCCGUCUGUCCGUCUGGCGCCCACAUUUAACCCCUUAAUGAGUCACGCCUUCAAAAUAAAGUACCGUUUCAAACCAAACAAAACAACGGCUUUAAAGGUCUUAUUCAUUUCAAUGUGCUUCAUGUCAACAUUACUUUGCCGUCCCAACUAAUAAUCAAUCGUCAAUAUUCAAUCAGUCAAGAUCACUCAUAAGGAAGAAUGCGUCAAAAUAAAGUUCCUUGUGGGCUUUUGUUUUAUGUUUCAGGGGAAGUUUCUUCUCUCAGAGCCAGAAUGUUUCUGUAUUAUUCCAUAAACACAGUGACCGUUUAUGACUGUGAGACGGAACCUUCACAGAAGCUUCUUUAUUCUUUCUUUCCAAAAUGAGUUUCAAAGGAUUUGAGGGUUUAUAAUUAUACAUGAACUAUUGUUUUCUACUCCAGCGUUUGCUUUAAUAUUCAGUGAUUUACAAGAUUUAGCUGACGGAUAUUUAAUCUACAGCGGCAACAAACGUUGUCAAAGAAAGAAGCCUGAAAUGAUGCGUUGAGGAUAUUGAAGUUUGAUGGACGUUAAGUAGUCCUUUUGUUUUGUAAUCCUUUAUUGUAUCCUAGCAACAUGGUAGUGAUGAAUAAAUAAUAAGACGUU